GUUAGGCUCAGACGCAAUCUGGAUGCUAAAGGCAGCGCUUUGUUCGUCAUUGCUACGUCCUGUUUUACAAUUCUUCAGUUCAGUACAUGAUUGCAUGGGCUCUGUAACAAUUACAUCUGAACAUCACUGAACAUCUGAACUUUUGACCAGAGCUGCUUGGCCUUUGUACAUUACUUACUUCCACCCACUAGUUCAUCA